UUUCUGGAAGUAAAAAAUCGUAACAAGGUCUCCGUAGGUGAACCUGCGGAGGGAUCAUUACACAAAUAUGAAGGCGGGCUGGAACCUCUCGGGGUUACAGCCUUGCUGAAUUAUUCACCCUUGUCUUUUGCGUACUUCUUGUUUCCUUGGUGGGUUCGCCCACCACUAGGACAAACAUAAACCUUUUGUAAUUGCAAUCAGCGUCAGUAACAAAUUAAUAAUUACAACUUUCAACAACGGAUCUCUUGGUUCUGGCAUCGAUGAAGAACGCAGCGAAAUGCGAUAAGUAGUGUGAAUUGCAGAAUUCAGUGAAUCAUCGAAUCUUUGAACGCACAUUGCGCCCUUUGGUAUUCCAAAGGGCAUGCCUGUUCGAGCGUCAUUUGUACCCUCAAGCUUUGCUUGGUGUUGGGCGUCUUGUCUCUAGCUUUGCUGGAGACUCGCCUUAAAGUAAUUGGCAGCCGGCCUACUGGUUUCGGAGCGCAGCACAAGUCGCACUCUCUAUCAGCAAAGGUCUAGCAUCCAUUAAGCCUUUUUUUCAACUUUGACCUCGGAUCAGUAGGAUCCCAGG
rnacentral:rRNA from 1 species